GAUGAAGAACGCAGCGAAAUGCGAUAAGUAAUGCGAAUUGCAGAAUUCCAGUGAGUCAUCGAAUCUUUGAACGCACAUUGCGCCCUUUGGUAUUCCGAAGGGCAUGCCUGUUCGAGCGUCAUUAUCACCCAUCAAGCCCUCGGCUUGGUGUUGGACGGUUUGGUGGAGGCCCCCUCGGGGGCUCCUGCCCCUCCCAAAGACAAUGACGGCGGCCUCGUUGGACCCCCGGUACACUGAGUUCUUCACGGGACACGUAUCGGACACAUGGGUUUACGGGACACGGUCUGCCUCCCCUCAGGGAGAAUCUUUCUAAGGUUGACCUCGGAUCAGGUAGGGAUACCCGCUGAACUUAAGCAUAUCAAUAAGCGGAGGA
rnacentral:misc_RNA from 1 species